AUUGAACGCUGGCGGCAGGCCUAACACAUGCAAGUCGAGCGGAUGAAGGGAGCUUGCUCCUGGAUUCAGCGGCGGACGGGUGAGUAAUGCCUAGGAAUCUGCCUGGUAGUGGGGGAUAACGUCCGGAAACGGGCGCUAAUACCGCCUACGUCCUGAGGGAGAAAGUGGGGGAUCUUCGGACCUUACGCUAUCAGAUGAGCCUAGGUCGGAUUAGCUAGUUGGUGGGGUAAAGGCCUACCAAGGCGACGAUCCGUAACUGGUCUGAGAGGAUGAUCAGUCACACUGGAACUGAGACACGGUCCAGACUCCUACGGGAGGCAGCAGUGGGGAAUAUUGGACAAUGGGCGAAAGCCUGAUCCAGCCAUGCCGCGUGUGUGAAGAAGGUCUUCGGAUUGUAAAGCACUUUAAGUGGGGAGGAAGGGCAGUAAGUUAAUACCUUGCUGUUUUGACGUUACCAACAGAAUAAGCACCGGCUAACUUCGUG
rnacentral:rRNA from 1 species